UACGUAGGGUGCAAGCGUUAAUCGGAAUUACUGGGCGUAAAGCGUGCGCAGGCGGUUUUGGAAGUUUGUCGUGAAAUCCCCGGGCUCAACCUGGGAAUGGCGAUGAAGACUGCAAGGCUAGAAUCUGGCAGAGGGGGGUAGAAUUCCACGUGUAGCAGUGAAAUGCGUAGAGAUGUGGAGGAACACCGAUGGCGAAGGCAGCCCCCUGGGUCAAGAUUGACGCUCAUGCACGAAAGCGUGGGGAGCAAACAGG
rnacentral:rRNA from 1 species